UACGUAGGGGGCAAGCGUUGUCCGGAAUUAUUGGGCGUAAAGCGCGCGCAGGCGGCUUCUUAAGUCUGAUGUGAAAGCCCACGGCUCAACCGUGGAGGGUCAUUGGAAACUGGGAAGCUUGAGUGCAGAAGAGGAGAGUGGAAUUCCACGUGUAGCGGUGAAAUGCGUAGAUAUGUGGAGGAACACCAGUGGCGAAAGUGGCUCUCUGGUCUGUAACUGACGCUGAGGCGCGAAAGCGUGGGGAGCAAACAGG
rnacentral:rRNA from 1 species